AGAGCGAACGCUGGCGGCAGGCCUAAUACAUGCAAGUCGAACGGACCCUUCGGGGUUAGUGGCGGACGGGUGAGUAACACGUGGGAACGUGCCCUUUGGUUCGGAACAACUCAGGGAAACUUGAGCUAAUACCGAAUGUGCCCUUUGGGGGAAAGAUUUAUCGCCAUUGGAGCGGCCCGCGUCUGAUUAGCUAGUUGGUGAGGUAAAGGCUCACCAAGGCGACGAUCAGUAGCUGGUCUGAGAGGAUGAUCAGCCACACUGGGACUGAGACACGGCCCAGACUCCUACGGGAGGCAGCAGUAGGGAAUCUUGCGCAAUGGGCGAAAGCCUGACGCAGCCAUGCCGCGUGAAUGAUGAAGGUCUUAGGAUUGUAAAAUUCUUUCAGCGGGGACGAUAAUGACCGGUACCGCAGAAGAAGCCCCGGCUAACUUCGUGCCAGCAGCCGC
rnacentral:rRNA from 1 species